AUACGGAGGAUGCGAGCGUUAUCCGGAUUUACUGGGCGUAAAGGGUGCGUAGGUGGUCUUUCAAGUCGGUGGUUAAAGGCUACGGCUCGACCGUAUUAAGCCGCCGAAACUGGAAGACUUGAGUGCAGGAGAGGAAAGUGGAAUUCUCAGUGUAGCGGUGAAAUGCGUAGAUAUUGAGAAGAACACCAGUAGCGAAGGCGGCUUUCUGGACUGUAACUGACACUGAGGCACGAAAGCGUGGGUAGCAAACAGGAUUAGAUACCCUGGUAGUCCACGCCGUAAACGAUGAGUAUUAGGUGUCGGGGGUUACCCCCCUCGGUGCCGCAGUUAACGCAUUAAAUACUCCGCCUGGGGAGUACGCACGCAAGUGUGAAACUCAAAUGAAUUGGCGGGG
rnacentral:rRNA from 1 species